AAACAAAUAUUAAAGGCAACGCCUGCCCAGUGAACAAUUAAACGGCCGCGGUACCCUAACCGUGCAAAGGUAGCGCAAUCACUUGUCUAUUAAUUGUAGACCUGUAUGAAAGGCAAAAUGAGGGCUUAACUGUCUCUUAUAAUUAAUCUAUUAAACUGAUCUUUUAGUAAAAAAGCUAAAAUACCCACAUAAGACCAGAAGACCCUGUGAAGCUUAAAUUAAACCAUUAAACCUAAUAAUGACUACCUUAGGUUGGGGCAACCUAGGAAACAAAAAUAACUUCCUAAAAAAUCAAGUAAAUUCUACUAUAAACAGGCCUACAAGCCAAUCAACGACCCAGUAAAACUGAUAAUUGAACAAAGUUACUCCAGGGAUAACAGCGCUAUCUUCUUCAAGAGCCCAUAUCAAAAAGAAGGUUUACGACCUCGAUGUUGGAUCAGGACAUCCCAAUGGUGCAACCGCUAUUAAAGGUUCGUUUGUUCAACGAUUAAUGUCCUAC
rnacentral:rRNA from 1 species